CAUUCUGAUGAACAAUCAGACCUAUCGAGAUCUUCCUACAAGAAUAAUAAUAAUAAUAAUAAAAUUCUCAUGUAGUCGCCUUGAGCUCCUCAAAAAAAAAAAAAAUGUCAUCUAACUCAUAGGUCUAUGACUUGAGUCUUACAAUCUCCAUUUUGGGAGCCCAUUAGUUUGAUGACCUUGUGAUCCAUUGGGCCCUUACAGCCCAUUUGGUAAUCUCAUGGGCUGGGCUAAUUCAUUCGUCGGCGGACCUUCCCGUCAUCACUUCCUCUGAUUGCUCAAUCCCCUAAUCGCUAUCGACGGUGACCCUUCGGAUGCCUCUUUUCUUGGAUUCGGCACAAGCAGACAGUCUUUUUGCCCUCAAAGCUUCUUCCACGCUGCAGCAAUGGCUGACGGAGCUGCGAUUCAGGACAAGAACAUCGGUAUCCAAAUUUGGGCAGCUUCACCAUGACUACUGUUUUGAAUAUUUGGUUGUAGACGCCCUCGUCUCUGAAGUCGAUUUAGAUCUUGAUUUCUUUGUUUGUUGAUCGAUAGGCUUAUUUCAAUUCAGAUUCUUCAUUUGUAAGCGAAAUGCACAUUACUACUUAUGAUCUCUAUGCCUAAUUAUAAUUAGGUAAA